GACGAACACUGGCGGCGUGCCUAAUACAUGCAAGUCGACCUUAGUGGCGAACGGGUGAGUCACACGUGGGUAACCUGCCCAUCAGCAGGGGAUAACACUUGGAACCAGGUGCUAAUACCGUAUACCGAUGGAUGGACCCGCGGUGCAUUAGCUAGUUGGUGAGGUAACGGCUCACCAAGGCCACGAUGCAUAGCCGACCUGAGAGGGUGAUCGGCCACAUUGGGAGUGAGACACGGCCCAAACUCCUACGGGAGGCAGCAGUGUGGAAUCUUCGGCAGUGGACGAAAGUCUGAGCGAGCAACGCCGCGUGAGGGAAGAAGGUUUUCGGAUCGUAAAGCGCUGGUGUUAGAGAAGCGUUAUCUACCCAGAAAGCCACGGCUAACUUCGUGCCAGCAGCCGCGGUAAUAC
rnacentral:rRNA from 1 species